AGAUGAUGUUAUUUUUAUUCCUUUUCAAUGAGAUCUUAAUCUCUCCCUGCGUGUAAACAAAUUGUCACAGUAACCUUGUUCUUUAAUCUCCCAGCUGAAGACCUUUAAAGCAUUGGGAGAUAACAGAUCUAACUGAGAUUUCAUCAGCUUUCAGGCUUUUACAGAUAUGCCGCAUGCCUCUCCCACUGCUGCAGUCUUUAAAUGUUGAAGGAGAGAAGUGCACAUUACACUCAAACGCUCGCCUUAAACGUUUGAAAAUAGUAUCCGCCCAGCAACAUGCACUCCAGGGCUCAGAUCUGCGAUGGAACUGCCAUGCAGGCAGGAGGCAGCAAAAGGAAACUGUUCCAGCGCGCAGUUAGGAAGACGAAUGAAAGGAUCAGAGAAUUUCAGUUUGGAAAAAGAAAGAACAGAACACGACAGACUUUGCCUGUGGUUGAGAGGCCUGACUGCUCCAGAAGCAUGUUGUCCCUUCAGCUCCUGAUCACGUGCCAAACCCAACUAUGGAGCCUCCCCAUUAUCUCCAUCAUCACCGGUGUCAGGAGGAGGGACAGCCAUCAGCAGAUGCUGCGUGAUGUGAAGGCAGGGCAGGGCUCUCAAAGAGGACAACUCCAUUAAGCCAUUGCAGCAGAGCAGUGCACACCUCCCUCCUUGCUUUGCUGUGGGUAAUUCCUCCAUGGACACACAGUACUUUUGGAACAAGUACUUAGGAUACUUUCACUAUC
rnacentral:lncRNA from 1 species